rnacentral:rRNA from 1 species
AGAGUUUGAUCCUGGCUCAGGACGAACGCUGGCGGCGUGCUUAACACAUGCAAGUCGAACGGAAAGGCCCUUCGGGGUACUCGAGUGGCGAACGGGUGAGUAACACGUGGGUGAUCUGCCCUGCACUUUGGGAUAAGCCUGGGAAACUGGGUCUAAUACCGAAUAUGACCAUGCGCCUCCUGGUGUGUGGUGGAAAGCUUUUGCGGUGUGGGAUGGGCCCGCGGCCUAUCAGCUUGUUGGUGGGGUAAUGGCCUACCAAGGCGACGACGGGUAGCCGGCCUGAGAGGGUGACCGGCCACACUGGGACUGAGAUACGGCCCAGACUCCUACGGGAGGCAGCAGUGGGGAAUAUUGCACAAUGGGCGCAAGCCUGAUGCAGCGACGCCGCGUGAGGGAUGACGGCCUUCGGGUUGUAAACCUCUUUCAGCACAGACGAAGCGCAAGUGACGGUAUGUGCAGAAGAAGGACCGGCCAACUACGUGCCAGCAGCCGCGGUAAUACGUAGGGUCCGAGCGUUGUCCGGAAUUACUGGGCGUAAAGAGCUCGUAGGUGGUUUGUCGCGUUGUUCGUGAAAACUCACAGCUUAACUGUGGGCGUGCGGGCGAUACGGGCAGACUUGAGUACUGCAGGGGAGACUGGAAUUCCCGGUGUAGCGGUGGAAUGCGCAGAUAUCAGGAGGAACACCGGUGGCGAAGGCGGGUCUCUGGGCAGUAACUGACGCUGAGGAGCGAAAGCGUGGGGAGCGAACAGGAUUAGAUACCCUGGUAGUCC